UCUCACCAUCGAGGUCCAAACAUCAACCUUCUCUUAAACCCAAGAUAAGUCAAAACGUUAUUAGAAUUGAAGUGAUGGAGUAAUGGGAUUUGACAAGGAGUUUUGUAAGGAUGCGUAGAUGAGAUGAUGAUCUAUGUUGCAAACUGGCCAUGAUGAAGAUGAAAGGAAUCCAAUUCUCAGGACGCGCAAGCGAAGAAGGACAAGCGUAGAUAACAUAUCGAGCAUCUUCCAAGCAAGAUAGUCAAAUGGUGAAUAAUGUACUGCAUACAAAGGUAUAGCUCGACCAGAGUUUUGUGAAAACAAUAGAUAAGGUUAAUAGAUCUCAAGUUUGGCUUUCAUUGAGGUUUGAUUUUCUUUUUCAUGGAUGCAUCAUGUUUGUUGUUAUGUGGAGUGGACAUGAUGUUGAUGGAUGUCUUGGAGACACUGAUCUUGAGAAGUCUAUUACAAAUGGCUUGACCAAUAAAGAUUAACUUUCUCGAAGUAAAAAGAUCAGUCCCCACCAGAAAUUUGAAGUUGCUAGAGUCUAGGGUGUCUCUAUAAUCUAAUAGCAGCUGCUAAUGUCUAAUAUUCUAAUUAAAUUACUUUCUUUUGAUUUGCUUAUAUUGUUAUGAUCCCUAUAGUUGUUCAUAUUGAGCUGUGCAAAUAUGAAUGUUUUUUGGAUUCCAUAAUGGAAAGAAGAUAAUGAUGCUGAAGGCGUAAACGAUCAACUCCAAUAAUCCCGUUGUCAUUCAUGUCCUUCUCUCACGUUCUCUUCUCUGUUAUGAAGUUACUCCGGAAAAUUCUAGGCCAAUAUUAUCAUUCGCUUCAAAUCAGUAUUGGUUCUGGGAGGAAAUUGUGACAAUAUGCGUGUUAAGAAAGGGGAAACAUCACGAGAAGAAGAACAAGUCUUAAAGGCUAAACGUGACAGCUAGGGCCGUACAAAUUUUUGUUAACGAUCACCUUUUUUGCCUCGAUGUUUUUAAAACAAAUGAUGUAAUAUAUUUUUCCUACAUAGGGCGUAAAAUUUGUUGUUAUUCUAAGUUUUUUACUUCGAGACUUAAUAGCUUCACAUACGCAUUGUUAGAGCAUGAUUAUCGCAGUUUCUUAAGGAGGGGUUUUAACAAAUUGCAUCAAUUAAUUAAAUCAAAACUAAAAGAAAAAGCUAUAACCGAUCCUUAAUCUGUGAUUUUCAUGACCGAUCCUUAGGCAAAGAAAGAGCACACGUGUCAGCUGACAAACCUCAAAUAUUUUUUUUUUGUUCUCUCUUUUCUCUUUGUUUUUUUCUCUCUUGUUUUUUUCUGUCUUUGGAGACGAUGAUUUUUGUGGAGGAUCACAUUUGUCUCCGUCUGGACAAUUGUUUGUCCAAUUGGUUUCCGUUUGUGGAAGAUCAGAGCCAGGGUGAAAACCGAAUGGGUUCAUAAUCGGUUCUUCGUCAACAUAUCCUCUGAAGAUACACUCCAUCUCUUUUCUAUCGGAAAAAUCCAAAGACUCCAACUUUUUUUUGCCAAUCUAGAAGAAAUCGAGAUCCCCAGGAAUCUCCGUUUCGUUGCCCAGAUUCUCCUCUUCUCCAGGUACUCUUUCCCGGAUAAUUCAAUUCAAUUCUCCGGAUAAUUCUAUUCUAUUUCCGUUUGAUCAGCAAAAGAGAAUUGAAUAAUUCUGAUCGGAGUGUAUUUCUCACUUGUACAGGUAAGAAGUUGAAUUGAGUGGAUUAUAUUGAAUAUGAUAGCCACGGGAAUUUGGAACCAAACGUAUCUUUUGAUUUAGUUUUCUUUGUGGUGCAUUAGAUGUUAAAGUUUCUUUCUUUUGCCUUAUGGAGAAACAGCAGAGAUAGAUCUUGCCACCAUCACAGAUCGAAUGGCUGUUAGAAAAGCUGUUCAAAACGGAAACGUCGAGGAUGCUAUUGAAAAAGUUAAUGACUUGAACUUUGAGAUACUAGACAGAAAUCCAGAGCUCUUCUUUCAUCUUCAGCAGCAAAGGGUGAUUGAACUUAUUCGACAAGAGAAGCCUUGGAGUUUGCUCAGGAGGAACUUUCACCACGUUGCAGCAAGGGAAAAGCAUGAUUGUUGCGGGCUUUGCUGAGUCUAAGAAGGAUCAUGGUAAUUGGGAAGAGUGCUCUUUGUUUGAUCCUUGUUUGCAUUACCUUUUAGUAGUUAACUAGAUAGUUUUGGACUAGCUUUUUGUUUGAUUUGUUGGUUCAAGUUUUAGAGAUCCUAUCUAUUGAUGAUUUUGAUGAUUUUUAUGUGUGUAGUACUUCUCAUUUGGAUUGAAGAAAUUUUUUUUUUUUUAAGAACACUUAGUUAAGAAACUUCCAUUGGACCACUCAAAAUGGGAGUUUCUUAACUAAAAUUCUUAGGUUACUUUUAUUAAUUAAAAAAUUAUUAAGAAACUCAUUAGGGGUGAUAGGGAUAAACAUGGUCUUAAGUUUUCCAUGGGCUGACCAAUGGGAUAGUUAGUCAAAGUCAACAUUUGCAGUCUGCAGAGAGCAGAUUUAGGCAUGUGACAAUUACUUAGUAAAAAAAAAAGAUUAGUCCCAUUCUCAAGACUGUUCCUGGAUCCACCGAUUCAUUACUUUCGGAGAGGAAAAGUUUUAGUAGUAGCAUUUGAUUUGUCAAAUGAAUCAAACCAGUUUUGUGUUGUAAAGGGUGUUAUUACUAUCGAUGGAUUUUUUGCUAUCUUUUUUUUCUUAUUCUUCAACAAAAUUAGAUAUAGGAAAAGUAUUUAACAAAAACGUUAAAUUUGUAGUUUCAGAGUGCAUAAAUAUAUAUAUUCAAAUAGAACUUAAAUUCACAAAUUCCAUUGUAGAAAUAAUAAUACACCAAAACACCCUAAAUAAUAACAGAUACAAAACAAAAAAAAAAUUGAAAAAAAAACACAAGAGUAAAAAUA